rfam:Triticum aestivum genome assembly, contig: Triticum_aestivum_CS42_TGACv1_scaffold_513199_6BS
UAUAUACUCCCUCCGUUCGGAAUUACUUGUCGCGAAAAUGGAUGUAUCUAGAACUAGAUACAUCAAUUUUUGAGACAAGUAAUUCCGAACGGAGGGAGUGUAUA